UACGUAGGGUGCGAGCGUUAAUCGGAAUUACUGGGCGUAAAGCGUGCGCAGGCGGUUUUGUAAGACAGGCGUGAAAUCCCCGGGCUUAACCUGGGAACUGCGUUUGUGACUGCAAAGCUAGAGUGUGGCAGAGGGGGGUAGAAUUCCGCGUGUAGCAGUGAAAUGCGUAGAUAUGCGGAGGAAUACCGAUGGCGAAGGCAGCCCCCUGGGUCAACACUGACGCUCAUGCACGAAAGCGUGGGGAGCAAAC
rnacentral:rRNA from 1 species